rnacentral:rRNA from 1 species
UAGUGGGGGAUAACGUUCGGAAACGGACGCUAAUACCGCAUACGUCCUACGGGAGAAAGCAGGGGACCUUCGGGCCUUGCGCUAUCAGAUGAGCCUAGGUCGGAUUAGCUAGUUGGUGAGGUAAUGGCUCACCAAGGCGACGAUCCGUAACUGGUCUGAGAGGAUGAUCAGUCACACUGGAACUGAGACACGGUCCAGACUCCUACGGGAGGCAGCAGUGGGGAAUAUUGGACAAUGGGCGAAAGCCUGAUCCAGCCAUGCCGCGUGUGUGAAGAAGGUCUUCGGAUUGUAAAGCACUUUAAGUUGGGAGGAAGGGCAGUUACCUAAUACGUGAUUGUUUUGACGUUACCGACGUUACCGACAGAAUAAGCACCGGGCUAACUCUGUGCCAGCAGCCGCGGUAAUACAGAGGGUGCAAGCGUUAAUCGGAAUUACUGGGCGUAAAGCGCGCGUAGGUGGUUAGUUAAGUUGGAUGUGAAAUCCCCGGGCUCAACUGGGAACUGCAUUCAAAACUGACUGACUAGAGUAUGGUAGAGGGUGGUGGAAUUUCCUGUGUAGCGGUGAAAUGCGUAGAUAUAGGAAGGAACACCAGUGGCGAAGGCGACCACCUGGACUGAUAC